GAUCGUGUGGCCUAAUGGAUAAGGCGUCGGACUUCUAAUCCGAAAAUUGCGGGUUCGAGUCCCGCCUCGAGUAAAAUCA